CCUACGGGAGGCAGCAGUGAGGAAUAUUGGUCAAUGGGCGCUAGUCUGAACCAGCCAAGUAGCGUGAAGGAUGACUGCCCUAUGGGUUGUAAACUUCUUUUAUAUGGGAAUAAAAUGAAGUAUGUAUACUUCUUUUCAUGUAUCUUAUGAAUAAGGAUCGGCGAACUCCGUGCCAGCAGCCGCGGUAUUACGGAGGAUCCGAGCGUUAUCCGGAUUUUUUGGGUUUAAAGGGAGCGUAGGCGGGUUGUUAAGUCAGUUGUGAAAGUUUGCGGCUCAACCGUAAAAUUGCAGUUGAUACUGGCAUCCUUGAGUACAGAAGAGGUAGGCGGAAUUCGUGGUGUAGCGGUGAAAUGCUUAGAUAUCACGAAGAACUCCGAUUGCGAAGGCAGCCUGCUGGACUGUAACUGACGCUGAGGCUCGAAAGUGUGGGUAUCAAACAGGAUUAGAGACCCCUGUAGUC
rnacentral:rRNA from 1 species